ACAGAAGUAAAUCAAGAUUGACGUGUUUGUGAACGAUGAAGAUUCAAGACCAAUCAUCACCGAUUCCUAAAUUUUAUGUUACUAGGAUCAAUCAUCCUGUUAUUAUUGUCAUCUAUUUAUAUGUAUACCAUACAACAUUUUGAUUGACAAACCAAGGCGGAUUUGGCGUUGCUGUCUCCGUCAUUCACAAACACGUCGAACUUGGCCUAUUUUCAUGGUUACGGCUUCAGAUUGAAGACAUAUGGUGAGCAUUGGGUUUAGGAAACCGGACCCUUAAUUUCAUCGAGUACAAGAACAACUCCCGGUAGUGACCAAUGCAACGCCGUUCUGGGACAUGGUGAAAAAGGUGAACGAGGCCAAUGGUUCAACAACAUUGAAAAAAAAAAACUAUUCUUUAUGCCUCCAUUUGGAAGAUCUGGAAGACCCGAAACGAUUGCAUUUUUAAUAGCAUCUCGUUUUCAGUUUUGAAAGCCGUAGAUGGCAUAAAGGACUCGUUUAUGUGGCCUAAACAAAGAGCGCCUUUUAGUUAUUUAGUUUGGGAGAGAUGGAGGGAUUUUAAUGUCCGGGAUAUUAUUGAGAUUGCAAAUAGAAUCAGGAUGUGAAGGAAAUAAAGAUGGUGGCUGUUGAUUUUUAAUUUGGGUAGAAUGUGGGUGUUGACUUAUCAAGCAAUAUUACAGUUGAAGAAUAUUGAGCGUUGAAGACCGAAACGUUUAAUAAUUGCUUGACUUAUCAAGAAAUUUUUCUUCAAGAGGAGCAGUUGGUUGAACGAAAUCUUGAACCAAUUAUCAAGAGAUUUGGCUCUUCGUAUAAAUCUUGAAGUUUAGUGCCAUCGCCGUUGAAUUCAAGGAAACGGUGGCUUUGAGGGUUGAAGACCGAAGCGGUGGUUAUGGUAAUUGUGUUUUGUUCGGUUACUUUUCGGUAGUGUAGUAUUUUGGUAAUUGUGGUUCAGUGUAGACGACAGUUUUGAUUUUGGUUCUUUCGGUGUAAAAGACAUUUGGCACCUCGAUUUACUCAGGU
rnacentral:lncRNA from 1 species